AACACCCAAUAGAAGCUUCUCCACACUCUUCCUCUACUGUGCUUCGACCCUGGCACGAAGGGAAUAUUUGCCAGGAUGAAAGGGUACAUUGGCCUCCACCAUUUAAUCCUUGCUCUCUCUCUGUUGAAUAUGAGAAGAGUGCUGGGUUUUGAGCUGUUGGGAUGAUUGCUGUGAUGCAGACAUUCUUUUACGAGGAACUGCACUGAGAUCAACAACUGAUGUCAUGUAACCAGGAGAUGACGUGUCUCAUUUCCUCUCAGAAAGUGGGUGACAGACAAUUAUCUCCCUGUCUGGUCAAUGUGUAUUGUGUGCCAGGAAAAGCAACCAGCAGGGGGGCAUCCUGUGUAUGAAUAAGGGCAAUGGAUUGUUCCGAUGUAUCUCGGGGUGGAAACAGACACCCUGGAUCUUUCACCUGGGAGGCACGCUAACAGCAUGACUUGUCUCAUGAACAGAAGAUCACAGCCAACCCUGGCUGUGAAAUGUUGGAAGGACUUUGUGUGAUCAUUGUUCUAUUAGACAUGGAAGUAUGUAGUAAGUCUAGGUGCCAGAAUGCAUGUGAUUAAUGUAGCCAUUUGUUUCCAAUACAUCUACUUGCUAUCACUUGAAUCUCUGCACUCUAUUAAAUAAACUUACACUUGAUUUCACUAUAAACAGA